rnacentral:rRNA from 1 species
AGGGUUCGAUUCUGGCUCAGGAUGAACGCUGGCGGCGUGCUUAACACAUGCAAGUCGAACGAUUAACCCGCCUUCGGGCGGUCAUAGAGUGGCGAACGGGUGAGUAACACGUGACCAACCUGCCCCAUGCCCCGGGACAACCGCUGGAAACGGCGGCUAAUACCGGAUACUCCGGCGAGGCCCCAUGGCCCCGCCGGGAAAGCCCAGGCGGCAUGGGAUGGGGUCGCGGCCCAUCAGGUAGUAGGCGGGGCGACGGCCCACCUAGCCGACGACGGGUAGCCGGGUUGAGAGACUGACCGGCCACAUUGGGACUGAGAUACGGCCCAGACUCCUACGGGAGGCAGCAGUGGGGAAUUUUGCGCAAUGGGGGGAAAAACCCCUGACGCAGCAACGCCGCGUGCGGGACGAAGGCCUUCGGGUUGUAAACCGCUUUCAGCAGGGAAGACAUCGACGGUACCUGCAGAAGAAGCCCCGGCUAAAUACGUGCCAGCCGCUGC